ACCGGCCACACUGGGACUGAGACACGGCCCAGACUCCUACGGGAGGCAGCAGUGGGGAAUAUUGCACAAUGGGCGGAAGCCUGAUGCAGCGACGCCGCGUGAGGGAUGACGGCCUUCGGGUUGUAAACCUCUUUCAGCACGGAAGAAGCGAGAGUGACGGUACGUGCAGAAGAAGCGCCGGCUAACUACGUGCCAGCAGCCGCGGUAAUACGUAGGGCGCAAGCGUUGUCCGGAAUUAUUGGGCGUAAAGAGCUCGUAGGCGGUUUGUCGCGUCUGCUGUGAAAGCCCGGGGCUUAACCCCGGGUGUGCAGUGGGUACGGGCAGACUUGAGUGCAGUAGGGGAGACUGGAAUUCCUGGUGUAGCGGUGAAAUGCGCAGAUAUCAGGAAGAACACCGAUGGCGAAGGCAGGUCUCUGGGCUGUUACUGACGCUGAGGAGCGAAAGCAUGGGGAGCGAACAGGAUUAGAUACCCUGGUAGUCCAUGCCGUAAACGUUGGGCACUAGGUGUGGGGGACAUUCCACGUUUUCCGCGCCGUAGCUAACGCAUUAAGUGCCCCGCCUGGGGAGUACGGCCGCAAGGCUAAAACUCAAAGGAAUUGACGGGGGCCCGCACAAGCGGCGGAGCAUGCGGAUUAAUUCGAUGCAACGCGAAGAACCUUACCAAGGCUUGACAUACACCGGACCGGUUCAGAGAUGUUCCUUCCCCCUUGUGGGGCUGGUGUACAGGUGGUGCAUGGUUGUCGUCAGCUCGUGUCGUGAGAUGUUGGGUUAAGUCCCGCAACGAGCGCAACCCUCGUUCUAUGUUGCCAGCACGUGAUGGUGGGGACUCAUAGGAGACUGCCGGGGUCAACUCGGAGGAAGGUGGGGAUGACGUCAAAUCAUCAUGCCCCUUAUGUCUUGGGCUUCACGCAUGCUACAAUGGCCGGUACAAUGGGUUGCGAUGCCGUGAGGUGGAGCUAAUCCCAAAAAGCCGGUCUCAGUUCGGAUCGUGGUCUGCAACUCGACCACGUGAAGUCGGAGUCGCUAGUAAUCGCAGAUCAGCAACGCUGCGGUGAAUACGUUCCCGGGCCUUGUACACACCGCCCGUCAAGUCACGAAAGUUGGUAACACCCGAAGCCGGUGGCCUAACCCUUGUGGAGGGAGCCGUCGAAGG
rnacentral:rRNA from 1 species